AGCAUGUUAGCUCAGGGGAAGAGCGCCGGGCUCAUAACCCGGAGGUACGUUUCACCUCACCAACCAAUUAGAAUCUGAUUCCUAACAAACAAUAGGUCCCUGGAUCGAAACCAGGACAUGCUA
rnacentral:tRNA from 1 species